rnacentral:rRNA from 1 species
AUACGGAGGGUGCAAGCGUUAAUCGGAAUUACUGGGCGUAAAGCGCGCGUAGGCGGAUGAUUAAGUUGGAUGUGAAAGCCCAGGGCUCAACCUUGGAACUGCAUUCAAUACUGGUCAUCUAGAGUACAGUAGAGGAGGGUAGAAUUUCUUGUGUAGCAGUGAAAUGCGUAGAUAUAAGAAGGAAUACCAGUGGCGAAGGCGGCCCUCUGGACUGAUACUGACGCUGAGGUGCGAAAGCGUGGGGAGCAAACGGGAUUAGAAACCCCUGUAGUCC